rnacentral:rRNA from 1 species
CCUACGGGAGGCAGCAGUGGGGAAUUUUGGACAAUGGGGGCAACCCUGAUCCAGCAAUGCCGCGUGUGUGAAGAAGGCCUUCGGGUUGUAAAGCACUUUUGUCCGGAAAGAAAACCCAGAUCCUAAUAUGGUCGGGGGAUGACGGUACCGGAAGAAUAAGCACCGGCUAACUACGUGCCAGCAGCCGCGGUAAU